AUGGCGCAGUACGUCCCGGCCCUGGAAUACUACGCCGGCGGCCUGCCGUUGGUGUCCACCUCGUACGCGUCCUCCGAGUACUACUUCGGCAUCAACCUUCAGCCGCUGUGCAACCCGACCGACGUGUCCUACACCAUCAUGCCCAACAUGGCCUACUUCGAGUUCCUCCCCGUGGACGACGCGACCACAGGCGAGGUCGUGGCGCCUGAAGGUGACGCGGCCCGGCUGGUGGACCUCGCCCGCGUGGAGGCUGGGCGGGAGUACGAGGUGGUGAUCACCACCUACGCCGGGCUCAACCGGUACCGCGUCGGCGACGUGCUCCGCGUGGCGGGCUACCACAACGCCGCUCCACGGUUCACGUUCGUGCGCCGCAAGAACGUGCUGCUCUCCGUCGAGUCCGACAAGACCGACGAGGUCGAGCUGCAGCGCGCCGUGGAGCGGGCCUCGGAGCUGCUCCGGCCGCACGGCGCGUUCGUGGCGGAGUACACCAGCCACGCGUGCACCAAGCGCAUCCCGGGGCACUACGUCAUCUACUGGGAGCUGCUGACCACCAGCGACGAGGCGGUGAGCAAGGAGACCAUCGACGGGUGCUGCCUGCAGAUGGAGGAGGCCCUGAACGCGGUCUACAGGCAGAGCCGGGUGGCGGAUGGGUCCGUCGGGCCGCUCGAGAUCCUGGUCGUCCGGCCCGGCACCUUCGAGGAGCUCAUGGACUAUGCCAUCUCUCGCGGCGCGUCCAUCAACCAGUACAAGGUGCCCCGCUGCGUCGCGCUUCCGCCCGUCGUUGACCUGCUCGACUCGUGCGUCGUGUCCGCCCACUUCAGCCCUGGCUUACCGCACUGGACUCCAGCACGGCGCAACGACUAG
rnacentral:rRNA from 1 species